AGAUAUGUGAAGUUCUAUGGUGUUAACGUAGGUUACUGUUUUAUGUCACAUCAUUGUAAAGAUAAUGUUGUGCGUAAGACAGCAACUAACGUAACACACUUUUCACCAUACAACACAGC
rnacentral:precursor_RNA from 10 species